rnacentral:rRNA from 1 species
GGGGAAUAUUGGACAAGGGGCGCAAGCCGGAUCAAGCCAUACCGCGGGGGGGAGGAAGGCCUUGGGGUGGUAAGGCCCUUUGGUUGGGAAAGAAAUCAAGCUGGCUAAUACCCGGUGGGAAUGCCGUAACCCAAAGAAUAACACCCGCCAACCUCGGUGCCAGCAGCCGCGGUAAUACGAAGGGUGCAAGCGUUACUCGGAAUUACUGGGCGUAAAGCGUGCGUAGGUGGUCGUUUAAGUCCGUUGUGAAAGCCCUGGGCUCAACCUGGGAACUGCAGUGGAUACUGGACGACUAGAGUGUGGUAGAGGGUAGCGGAAUUCCUGGUGUAGCAGUGAAAUGCGUAGAGAUCAGGAGGAACAUCCAUGGCGAAGGCAGCUACCUGGACCAACACUGACACUGAGGCACGAAAGCGUGGGGAGCAAACA